rnacentral:rRNA from 1 species
UACGUAGGGGGGCAAGCGUUGUCCGGAAUUAUUGGGCGUAAAGAGCGCGUAGGCGGUCCGAUAAGUCGGCUGUGAAAGUCAGGGGCUCAACCCCUGAAUGCCGGCCGAUACUGUCGGGCUAGAGUCCGGAAGAGGCGAGUGGAAUUCCCGGUGUAGCGGUGAAAUGCGCAGAUAUCGGGAGGAACACCUAUGGCGAAGGCAGCUCGCUGGGACGUUACUGACGCUGAGACGCGAAAGCGUGGGGAGCAAACAGG